AAUAGAUACCCCGGUAGUCCACGCCGUAAACGAUGAGUGCUAAGUGUUAGGGGGUUUCCGCCCCUUAGUGCUGCAGCUAACGCAUUAAGCACUCCGCCUGGGGAGUACGGUCGCAAGACUGAAACUCAAAGGAAUUGACGGGGGCCCGCACAAGCGGUGGAGCAUGUGGUUUAAUUCGAAGCAACGCGAAGAACCUUACCAGGUCUUGACAUCCCAUUGACCACUAUGGAGACAUAGUUUUCCCUUCGGGGACAACGGUGACAGGUGGUGCAUGGUUGUCGUCAGCUCGUGUCGUGAGAUGUUGGGUUAAGUCCCGCAACGAGCGCAACCCUUGUUCUUAGUUGCCAUCAUUUAGUUGGGCACUCUAAGGAGACUGCCGGUGACAAACCGGAGGAAGGUGGGGAUGACGUCAAAUCAUCAUGCCCCUUAUGACCUGGGCUACACACGUGCUACAAUGGACGGUACAAACGGUUGCCAACCCGCGAGGGGGAGCUAAUCCGAUAAAACCAUUCUCAGUUCGGAUUGUAGGCUGCAACUCGCCUACA
rnacentral:rRNA from 1 species